rnacentral:rRNA from 1 species
UACGAAGGGGGCUAGCGUUGCUCGGAAUUACUGGGCGUAAAGCGCACGUAGGCGGUCUUUUAAGUCGGGGGUGAAAUCCUGGAGCUCAACUCCAGAACUGCCUUCGAUACUGGAAGACUUGAGUCCGGGAGAGGUGAGUGGAACUGCGAGUGUAGAGGUGAAAUUCGUAGAUAUUCGCAAGAACACCAGUGGCGAAGGCGGCUCUCUGGACCGUAACUGACGCUGAGGCGCGAAAAGCGUGGGGAGCAAACAGG